CACGGUGGCAUCGCGUCCAUACGGCGAGUGAGCGGCAAGAGCUCAAAUUUGAAAGCUGGCUCCUUCGGAGUCCGCAUUGUAAUUUGCAGAGGAUGCUUUGGGUGCGGCCCCCGUCUAAGUGCCCUGGAACGGGCCGUCAGAGAGGGUGAGAAUCCCGUCUUGGGCGGGGUGUCCGUGCCCGUGUAAAGCUCCUUCGACGAGUCGAGUUGUUUGGGAAUGCAGCUCUAAAUGGGUGGUAAAUUUCAUCUAAAGCUAAAUACUGGCCGGAGACCGAUAGCGCACAAGUAGAGUGAUCGAAAGAUGAAAAGCACUUUGAAAAGAGAGUUAAACAGCACGUGAAAUUGUUGAAAGGGAAGCGCUUGCGACCAGACUCGCCCGCGGGGUUCAGCCGGCAUUCGUGCCGGUGUACUUCCCCGUGGGCGGGCCAGCGUCGGUUUGGGCGGCCGGUCAAAGGCCCCUGGAAUGUAGUGCCCUCCGGGGCACCUUAUAGCCAGGGGUGCAAUGCGGCCAGCCUGGACCGAGGAACGCGCUUCGGCACGGACGCUGGCAUAAUGGUCGUAAACGACCCGUC
rnacentral:rRNA from 1 species